GUCUAUGGCCAUACCACCCUGAACGCACCUGAUCUCGUUUGAUCUCAGAAGCUAAGCAGUGUCGGGCCUGGUUAGUAGUUGGAUGGGAGACCUCCUGGGAAUACCAGGUGCUGUAGGCC
rnacentral:rRNA from 1 species